UGGUGGUGUCCCACUCUCAUGUAACCACUUCCUCUUGUUCCUGUCUGCAGACUCUCUGAGUUUGAUCAGAAGUGCUUGAAAUGUUGAAGGGAGAGUGAGAGGUUCAUUUCUACUUGCUGCUGUCAUGGUUUUUCAAACUAGGAUCCUGCAUCUGAAUUUGAGUGUCAUCCUUACUUUGCUGACCAAUGCAGAUUAUUCCAAAUCCAAUCAAGAGCCAAUUAUUAAGCAGCACAUCAACAAAACAGUGUUUGUGGGGGAAACAGUUACACUUCACUGCAACAAAACCCAAUAUGAUGAUGAUUUCACAUGGAAAAUGAACAGCUUUGUUAUUUUUAGGCAGGACUCUGAAAGUAACAGAACACUGAGAAACUUUAGCUCAAACAGGAUUCACAUCGACCCAGCAGCUCCAAGAGAAUUAACAAUACAUCAAAUACAAGCAUCUGAUGCAGGAAACCUCAGCUGUUACCCAGCAGCAAUAAGAUGGACAUUAACAAUAACAGAAAUCCAGAUCAGAUCAGAAUCACUCAAACAAAUGCCGUUGUACAUCAUCAUUUCGUGUUCUGGAGUCAUUAUGAUCUGUCUAAUUAUCACAAUCAGCAUCUGCAUUCACAGGAGAUGUAAAAACAGCAUACAGAGUCACAGAGAAAUGGGACAGGA
rnacentral:lncRNA from 1 species